ensembl:lncRNA
UGUUCGUGUGUGUGUGUGUGUGUGUGUGUGUGUGUGUGUGUGUGUGUGUGUGUGUGUGUGUGUGUGCUCACUUCAAAUCAGGUCAGGCUUUACACAAGUGAACUGUAAUCUUCAGAAGCACAUGAAGAUAAAUCUGCCCCUGCGCAUGACGACAUGGUAAAACCACAUCAGCAUUGUUGUUGCUGUUGGUAGAAGGACGUCAUACAGCACAUGCACCAGAUGGUGUUUACACCAAAUCAGCUGGAGACUCACUUGACUGAUCCACAUCCAGCACAGAGGUUUCAUUUCUGGAAAAUAAUAA